rnacentral:lncRNA from 1 species
UCUCUUUCGUAUACAUAUCCUAAACGUUCCUGAUCAUAGAAUUGCCAAUUGGGCAUUGACAGUCCGUUAAGAUCAGUACGUGCUGUGUCUUCUCUCAUGGAGAGUGACUGGUCUCGAGCCAUUGGUGUGAUUGACACCAAGACAAGCAUGUAGGUGCUCAAUAGCGAAUGAGUUCACUGAACACGAUCAACGAAGAGUUCUCAUACUCAUGUCACAUGAGAACUCAUGGUUGGGAUAAUGCAAAGUAGUCCUUUGACCUGAGGCAUCAUAGUUGUCUUGUGGUUAGGUCCUUGAUCUUUGAUUAUGUCAAAGUCACUCCAUUCGCGGGUGUCCACGGCAUAGUUGGGGUUAAGCCACUUAGCCAUGGAGGCAAGUGAAUGCGCAACAAGGGAUCUCUAACCUUCAAACCGUUUGAGGAGAAUACUCUAUGAUAUGAUUAAGAAUCUCUGGCCAGAGUAUGAAUGAGAUUUAGGAAGUCGUUCUAAAUCACAUUCAAGAUAAUCAUAUAUGUAAAUGAAUCACAUGGAUAGUAGACAUGAAUAAACUAUCAAACCAAACAAUGUGGUCAAGAGUAUUGUAUUAGAGAAAGACCGUAUUGCAUUGUAAUCCUAAACUGAAUAGGUUCUCCACCUCUUCUGAUUAGCUUGGGUAACCAUGAUAUGCUACUAGGUGUCACUCAUGGUUUGUGGAAGCCCUAAACGUGUAUAAACACCAAAGGGAGAAUUGAAAGUAAGUUUCAAUUCACAAUCGAUUCGAAAGAGUUUUAAUCGCCCACUGCCUCGCUAAAAGGAACAUAAUGGAUCGUACACCGUGUAAGGUAGAGAUUGAAGAAACAACGGAGAUGAGUACGAAUAAUUAAAUGGUUUAAUUAUUUACGGCAAGGAUUAAUUAAUAUGUUAAUUAAUCAAACGAAUAAGUUCGUUAAAGACCUCGGGAUAGUAUUGGACCUUAAGGCCCAAUGGGCUUUGAACGUCAAGUCCAUUGACUUAAGUUGUAUGACAACUUAAUGAAUAAUGAUUCACAAAGGCCCAAAUAGCCCAAUAAUACCCUAAGGCUGGCCAUUUAGAGGAAGGGUAGUGAACUUGCUUUAAUUACAAGUUUGCCACUCCAAUGAAUAAAGGUAUAAAUAUGACUUUAUAGCCAAAAUUCAUUAAGGGUUUUUUUUGAGGAAAUUGGAGAGAACACAAGGCUCUCCUUUCUCUCUAAAGAGGCCGGCCACCCUUGGAGGGAUUAGCUAGUAAUCUUUCUCCUCCAAGGUCACUCAUCUCUUCUUCACAUCUUACCUUGGUGUGGAGACUUAGAAGUUCUCUAUUUUGAGAACUUGGAGAAACAUAUUCUUCCAUCCAAAUCCAUGGAUCUAAGAAGCAAGGAAUGAAGGCCCUCUCCUUGAGUGAUUAGCCUUUGCUUAUGCAAAGAGGAAUCUACAAAGGUAUAAAUUUCUCAACUCACUUUGAUUUGAGUUGAGUCUUGGUUCACCAAACUACUAGGCUUUGAAUUUCAUGGGUAAUGUUUUGUUUUGAGUGCAUGCAAGCAUGAUUCCGCCUUUAAUUUGUUAAUUGCAUGCUAUAGAUGUUGCUCAAAUGAACAUGUUCUUCAUAAAAUUUUCCUUCAUCUUUAUCUCUUCAACAAAUUACGAGAAAUUUUUCGUUUGAAAAUGGUAGAUUCAAUUUGUAUCAUCUUUGUUGGAUAUUAGAGAUUCGUGUGUUAAUCAAUCAAGUCAAGUUCAUAUGAUAAAAUCAGCUAUAGAAUUGAAAAAUAAAGGACAAAAUCAGUUGCAUUCUAGUUUCCAUGAUAUGAAAAGUUAGAGAACGUGGGUUCUUUUUUUUUUCUUUCAAAUUUUUCAAAGAAAAGCAAGGGGAAGAGAAGAAACAAUACGCGACUAGGAAGAAAAUCUGACAAGAAAAAGGAGAGGAGGAAUUCAGUAAAAAAGUGGGAGGUGUAAUUAUUUAAUAGAAAAUUCUAUUAUGAAAAAAAUUAAAUAUAAAAUUAUACCAAAUAUUGUAGAUAAAGCUUCUAAGUGGCAUGUUUUGAGUGGAUGGUAGUGCCACUCAGCAUUAUGUAGUGGCAAGUCAAGCCUUACACAAGUUUUUCUCCUCGGGUGGAGAUCAAAUAUGUUUAUAAAUUAUAUAUUAUUAUACUUUGGUGAUGGUAUCCAAUACCAAAAUCUUACCAAAAAAGUUCGGUUUGGUACAAUACCGUUUGUUACACAAUCCCUAUCCAAGGGUAGACACAUCCAUGGAGAACUCAUCUCCUUAAUGCCCUGCCAUAGGCUAUUCGUCAAGGAUUCACUCCAUUCUUCUUUAGAACUACACCUGUGGUUUGAUUCUCCUUCCCGAAGAUAUAUAGGCAAUCUUUCUUGGAUUCAACCACAACCCCCAAUCAACCCUCAUUCUUCCCUCAUCAGAGAUCAUGGUAUAGUUCGAUUGGAUUUCGCCUCCGUCUGUGAAUGUGCACGAAUUUGGUUGUAACAAUAGGGACUCAAUCUUAUUGGACCUUCAAGCAGGGUAGGGGCAAUAAGGAAUAUUUAGGAUCAGGCACCUCACCUCCACUCCGAGGUACCCACAAGGUAAUGGCCUGGCCAAAUGAGCACUUAGAGUCUUGUGGUGUAUAGGACCACGGUGCGAAAGCUCAUGGGUGAGUCGCCUUUCUCCCUGGCCUUCGGUUCUGAAGUCAUCAUUCCCAUUCAGAGGACCAUGACAACUCUCCACACCGACAAAGGGACUGAGAUGGAGAAUGCAGACAUCAUCUAGAAAGAGUUGAAUUUCCUGGAAAAAAUGAGAGACAUCGCCAAGUUCACCUAGUAGCUUACAUCAAAAGGUCAUGUCCUACUACAAGAAGGAAGUCAAACACUGAAGCUUCAAAAUUUGAGACUUAGGCCUGCAAGAAGUAUUCCAAAAUACCCAGAUCCUCGGAGAGGGAAAGCUGGGUGCAAUUGGGAAGGCUUUCAACACAAACCCAAUUGCUCUUCAACAAACCCCUUAAAAGCUCUUUAGCUACAAUUUAAAAAUUCUUUCUUCCAAGCAAACACUGAGCUAUUGUAGCUCUAUCACCCCGUGGUAUGAUCUGAUUGUUGUGCAAUUCCAACAACCCUGAUUCCUCUGAGGCGUAUGUUUUGUACCAAGUCCAGUUCAAUACAAGUGAUCUUGGUGGGCCCCUCAAACAUUAUAUUGUCCUUCAUAGCCUGAAUCUUGCUAGAGUUUCACAGCUUUUUUUACAUUUCCAAUUUAUUUACUUUUCAAGUCAUGUAGGUCGCCCUAUCAGCCUAGAAUUUUCUUUUGUUAACGUUUGUAAUCUUAACUCCAUUAUGAAAUGAUUACAAUUUGUUUCUACUUUAAGUUUAUAUUUCUUUCUUUAAUUUAUGCUUUAUGCAACACACAAAUCCACAUUGAAUUUUAAGUCUUUCGCACAUACGGGGCGUCGAAAAGAACUUAACUGAACUAAUGUCCCACUGGGUGCACAAUCAUUUGGUUAAGAAGUCAAUUUUAUGUGCAACCUCACACUCACUAAAACAAACAUUGUUUAUGGGUAGCCUCCAACAAUGGCACUCCUAUUCUCUAUUUCACUCGAGCCAUCACAUGGCACUAAAACCAAAAGCAACAAUCGGGACAAAUACGUGUUGAACCCCGUGCAAGUUUUUGCACCAACAGUGUGACAAUAUCCAAGUUAUGAAAUCCAUUUGACAUAGCCUGCUAGUAUCUCUGUUAUAACGAAGAAUAAUAGAAGAUAAAUACAAAUUAGACAUGCCUGAUCCAUUUAUAAAGCACGAACCAUUACUUGGGUUUCAUUUAUUAAUGCAGUAAUAUAUGAUUACAAGAACCCUAAAAUCGAAAUAUAUCAUAACUACAAUUAUUCAGAUGAUUUCCCUUCAACUUUCCGCAACAAAUGGAAAGUUGUCUAAUUAUCAUACCAUUAAGAAUGCAGAAGCCACAUACUUACGUACAGUUAAGCUUGUUUACUCCGCAUAUACAAGAAUGUUCAGCAAGAGCCAUUCCAUUGAGUUUUACAUCUGUUGUCUGCAAUGAGUACCCAGAUAUGGGGCAUUUUUGGAAUACUUAGAGUUACAAACAGAGAUUCUAUGGGGUUGCGACUGUGUCUGGACUAGAUAGAUAUCUUUGCCACUAAGACAUCCUUCUAUAUCUACGGAAAGCCAAACUUCCGCUCAAGGAAAAGUCCCAAUGUACUGAGGUGCUGACCAAGCUGUUGACGAAAAAUUGGAUAAACAAUUAAUGGUUUCUUGCUGCAAUCUACACUCAAAUGGAUAACCUACCCAUCAGCAAGGGCUGCACCUACUAGCUCCUCACUGAAAUUCACAAAUGCUAGAGUUCAUACAUUCCUAUCAAAUUUCCCAGACGAUAAACGCAAGGGUGUGCCUCUAGUGCCUGAAGCCAAACUUUCACCAAGGCCAAAAGCAAUUUCAGCCUCAACAAAAUUAUGAUCUUGGUAUGUUGGGCUGACUAUGUGAAGCACAAAUGAUAAGUCUGUGAAAGCAUUUCUUGCACCAGAAUUGCCAUUGUAGCUUCCUUCUGAGGCACACCAGUAGCUCUCUCUCAAAACUGCUCUCCAAUUAUAAAGUGAGGCCCAUACUCUGCUAAUAGCAUUUGCAAAAAUUGUUGGAUUUGAAACACUAACAUUGGGAGUUGAGUCAUAUAAUCCGGCAGCUGACAUUUCGACCAAGUCCUCAACGUUAGCACUUGAACGAAUAAUUAGGCGUGAAUUUGCUGGAAAUAUUUUCCCUAUGCUAUCACUAAUGUCUUUCGGGGGCUGUAGGGAAGAGAUUAGUUCCUGGAGCUGACUACAAAGUUGUUCAAGCUCCCCACUUUCCAGCUUCUGUGUGUCUACCUGAUCUAGUAAGGACCUGAAUAAUUCGAUACUUUGCUUUGUUCCAAUGCCAAUUCCUAUGGUAUCAUUGCCACCAAAGGGACAUUGAAUGAAGCUAGUACCUCUUCGUCAUUAUAAACUACCAAUCAAAAACCACAAGCCUCGGGUAAAUGUAAAGGGACAAAAACAUAUGCAGGAAAAUAGAUGAUAUUGCUAUUAAGCAAUCCACAAUCAUCCCCUCGUCCAUUACAUGUAAGUGCUUUGUAUCCACUAAUUUUCUGCAAUACAUUAUAAUGCAUACCGAAGAUAAUUAAGUUUUCAUAUGAAUAUGGAAAAUGAUAAAAAUUAAAGUGGUUUCAUUUUAUCCUAAACCACUUUGACGGAAACAUUCAUCAUUCAUCACCAAUCAGUUAUUAAACAACAACAACAACAACAACAACAAAGUAUUUUCCCACUAAGUGGGAUCGGCUAUAUAAAUCCUAGAACGUUAUUGCGCUCGGUUCUGUGUCAUGUCCUCCGUUAGAUCCAAGUACUCUAAGUCUUUUCUUAGGGUCUCUUCCAAAGUUUUCCUAGGUCUUCCUCUACCCCUUCGACCCUGAACCCCUGUCCCGUAGUUACAUCUUCGAACCGGAACGUCAGUAGGCCUUCUUUGCACAUGUCCAAACCAUUGUAACCGAUUUUCUCUCAUCUUUCCUUCAAUUUCAACUACUCCUACUUUACCUCGGAUAUCCUCAUUGCUAAUCUUAUCCUUUCUCGUGUGCCCACACAUCCAACGAAGCAUCCUCAUCUCCGCUACACCCAUUUUAUGUACGUGUUAAUGCUUCACCGCCCAACAUUCUGUCCCAUACAGCAUCGUCGACCUUAUUGCAGUUGUAUAAAAUUUUCCCUUGAGCUUCAGUGGCAUACGGCGGUCACACAACACAUCGGAUGCACUCUUCCACUUCAUCCAUCCAGCUUGUAUUCUAUGGUUAGGGUCUCUAUCUAAUUCUCCGUCCUUUUACAAGAUAGAUCGUAGGUAGCGAAAGCGGUCGCUCUUUGGUAUUUCCUGAUCUUUGAUCCUCACGCCUAACUCAUUCUGGCCUCCAUUUGCACUGAACUUGCACUCCAUAUAUUCAGUCUUUGAUCGGCUUAGGCGAAGACCUUUAGAUUCCAACACUUUUCUCCAAAGGUUAAGCUUCGCAUUUACCCUUUCUUGAGUUUCAUCUAUCAACACUAUAUCGUUUGCGAAAAGCAUACACAAGGAGUAUCAUCUUAAAUAUGUCAUGUUAACUCAUCCAUUACCAAUGGAAAAAGGUAAGGACUUAAGGAUGAGCCUUGAUGUAGCCCUACAGUUAUGGGGAAGCUUUUCGUUUGUCCUUCAUGAGUUCUUACAGCAGUCUUUGCUCCAUCAUACAUAUCUUUUAUAGCUUGGAUAUAUGCUACUCGUACUCUUUUCUUCUCUAAAAUCCUCCAAAGAAUGUCUUUUGGGACCCUAUCAUACGCCUUUUCCAAAUCUAUAAAGACCAUGUGUAAAUCCUUUUUUCCAUCUCUAUAUCUUUCCAUCAAUCUUCGUAAGAGAUAGAUUGCCUCCAUGGUUGAGCACCCUGACAUGAACCCGAAUUGGUUGUCCGAAUCCUGUGACUCUUGCCUUAAUCUAUGCUCAAUGACUCUCUCCCAGAGCUUCAUUGUAUGACUCAUUAGCUUAAUACCCCUAUAGUUCAUGCAAUUUUGUACGUCGCCCUUAUUCUUGUAGAUAGGCACCAACGUGCUCUUUCGCCACUCAUUUGGCAUCCUCUUCGUUUUCAAAAUCCUAUUGAAAAGGUCAGUGAGCCAUGCUAUACCCGUCUUUCCCAAGACCUUCCACACUUCGAUCGCUAUAUCAUCUGGGCCACUACUUUUCUAUGCUUCAUCUUUUUUAAAGCUACAACCACUUCUUCCUUCCUAAUUCAGCGGUAAAAUGAGUAGUUUCUACACUCUUCUGAGUUACUUAACUCCCCCAAAGAAGUACUCCUUUCAUGUCCUUCAUUGAAAAGAUUAUGAAAAUAACCUCUCCAUUUGUCUUUGACCGUGUUCUCUGUAGCAAGAACAUUUCCAUCCUCAUCCUUGAUGGACCUCACUUGGUUUAGGUCCCUUGUCUUCUUUUCCCUUGCUUUAGCUAGUUUAUAGAUAUCCAACUCUCAUUCUUUGGUAUCUAGUCGCUCAUACAUAUCAUUAUAAGCCGCUAGCUUAGCUUAUCUCACAGCUUUCUUCAUCUCUUGCUUCGCUCUUCUAUACCUUUCACCAUUUUCAUCGGUCUUAUCCUUGUAUAAGGCUUUACAACAUUCCUUCUUAGCCUUCACCUUUGUUUGUACCUCUUCAUUCCACCACCAAGAUUCCUUUUGGUGUGGAGCAAAGCCCUUGGAUUCUUCUAAUACCUCUUUUGCUACUUUUCAGAUACAACUAGCCAUGGAAUCCCACAUUUGGUUAGCUUCCCCCUCUUUAUCCCACACGCAUUGGGUGAUUACUUUCUCUUUGAAAAUGGCUUGUUUUUCUCCUUUAGAUUCCACCAUCUAGUCCUUGGGCACUUCCAAGUCUUGUUCUUUUUUUUUUCUGUCUUUUGAUAUGUACAUCCAUCACCAACAAGCGAUGUUGAUUAGCUAAGCUCUCUCCCGGUAUAACUUUGCAAUCCUUACAAGUUAUACGGUCCCCUUUCCUCAUUAGAAGAAAAUCUAUUUGUGUUUUUGACGACCCACUCUUGUAGGUGAUCAAAUGUUCUUCUCUCUUCUUAAAGAAGGUGUUGGCUAAGAAGAGAUCAUAUGCCAUUGCAAAAUUCAAGAUAACUUCCCCAUCCUCGUUUCUUUCCCCAAAACCAUGGCCACCAUGAAAACCUCCAUAGUUGCCUGUCUCCUUGCCCACGUGUCCAUUUAAAUCUCCUCCUAUAAAUACCUUCUCCGUCUGAGCAAUCACCAAGUCUCCAAGGUCUUCCCAAAAUUUCUCCUUCAAACUCGUAUCCAACCAUACUUGAGGUGCGUAUGCACCAAUCACAUUGAUGAGUUCUUGUCCUAUUACAAUCUUGAUUGCCAUGAUUCUAUCUCCUACCUUCUUGACAUCUACAACAUCUUGUGUCAAUGUCUUGUACACGAUGAUGCCAACACCGUUUCUCGUUCUAUUUGUGCCCGAAUACCAAAGUUUAAAACCUGAGUUUUCUAGAUCCUUUGCCUUAAGACCAACCCAUUUAGUUUUUUGUAGGCACAUAAUAUUUAUCCUUCUCCUCACCAUAACUUCCACUACUUCCAUAGAUUUUCCCGUUAAGGUUCAUGUAUUCCACGUUCCUAAACGCAUUCUACUCUCUUGAACUCUAACCUUAUGCCCUAGUUUCUUCACCCUCCCCCGUCUAAUAGGAUCAAAGUACUUCUUUGGUGUGUCCUAUGUAAAGUUGAUAGGAGCAUAUGCUCCCAAACAACUUUGAGUGGAGUCGUUCAAAAGAAGUUUCUAUGACACCCUUGCUCAUUUAACACUGCAUCUGGGUGCCGAUGGAGAUACAGCGACCCACUUAUCACUAUGCUCGGGCCACACAACGCGCCACUUAUGGGUGACGUCCUAGCUUUAAUGCGAAUUCGUUCUGAAUUCAUUUUCAUAAGGAUUUGACGUAACCUAGGAGUGCCGGCUGUCGACUACCUGACUCCCUCCCCCUCCUCAUUUAUCCGGGCUUCGACCAAUCAAUUAGUAAAACUAGAAGAAAAGUUGAUAAUAAUCUUUCUUGCUUCUCAGAAUAAUAUCAUGAUUCCUUCAAUGGACGUAGUCAUUUGUUUCCGUAUGAGUGGCAGAAUUUGAAGACAUCCACUUCUAUUUCACAACAUAAUCAGCUACUCGUUAUCUUGUUUUUAAUCAAGGGCCAUCCACAAAGUGGUAUUCAAUUAUUUUGAUUUCAUAUAUCUGUUAUAAAUUUUCAAUCAAGGACCAAUCGAAACAACAAAAACGACUAUUAUAAAUAUUCCUAUUGCAAUCCUCGAAGUCAAAUAAGUAGACUUCAAUGCAUGCUUGGUAGUAGUCUCAUUGCUGAUAGGAGCAUAUUUAUGCGCCUUAGUUUAGCUUGUUCUUGUGCAUUUAUAGUGUUUUUCCUUAGUAAAGUAGUCUUUUAAGCUAGUUUUAUGUGAUUUCAGGUUCUAAGGGCAAAAUAUGAAAAAGGAUGCAUUUUGGAGCCUUUUGGAGCAAUUUAGAGCUUGGAAUGGACAUCAUAUGCUUGGAGCCAAGAGGAUGGACGAAAUUGAAGAUUUGAAGAUGAUGUUUCCUAGUUGAAUUAGGAUUCCUAGUCAAAAUGGGUUUCCUAGUUGAAUUAGGAUUCCUUGAAGAUGAAGAUUCCUACUCAAACAAGGUUUCCUACUUGAGGUAGGAAAGUCAAAAUCCAAAUGGUCUCAAGUGAAGCAACAAAGAAGUUUUCCAAGUCCAAGAAGGAAAAGGAGUCCAAGAUGAAGAAGGAAUGACAAAGACAAGGUUUCCUAAUCCUAAUAGGCAAAGUUUCCAAGUGCAAUGAGGAAUCCUUAUCCAUUUAGGGCACCUUAUCCAUUUAGGAUACCUCAUCCUUGUUCUAGAAACCUUAUCCAUCCUUGCCGUGAGUUUUCCUUGCAUUAGAGGGUUUCUAGAAGCCCUAAUCUGCCCUAUCCUUUAGUGCCGCACCUAUCCCUUCUAGAAAACCGAUUUCCUUGCCUUGCAAGGCCAUCUAGAAGCCUUAUCCCUCUAAUCCAUCCCUGCCGCACCUAGGAGGACCUUUCCUACCCAAAAUCUGAUUGUUUUAAGCCCUUUCCUGAUGGGAUUUAAUCCUCCAAGUCCUAAUCUGAUUUGCUAGACUUUUAGGACCCUAUAAAUACAUGGUGCCGCACCCAUUCAUUCACACCACCUCUCAUACACAUUCAUUCAUUCCACAAAUUCAGAAAUUCGUCCAAACACCUCUCCACCCCUUUGCCGCACCAUCCCCAUCCCCUAAACACUACUACAUACAUCCAUAACCAUGCAUCCAUACACCUAAGGUCCUAAACCUGUCCCUAGACCCUUUUCCGCACCAAGGAGGAGGAGAAGGAAGCUGGGAAGUUCAUGCAAUUCAAGUUCGCGUUGCUGGAAUUUCUAGGUGUUUCUUUUCCUUUGAUUUCAAUGUUUAAAUUCAAUUCUCUUUGUUUCGUGCGUAUGAGGAACUAAACCCCCCUUGACUAGGGGGGAUUCGAAAUACAUGUUUAUGCUUGCGAUAUGAUUUGAUUACUUCUAAUUGCGUUUCAUAAGUUGUGAAUUCAAUUUACUUAUCUAUGUGAAUUACAUUGAUUUGUGUGUGUUGGUUGAGAGUGCACGCUUAAUUAUCAUGCAUAAAUUGAAUGCUAGGAUAUAAGGAAAUUUCACCUAAUCGUUAUGGACUUAUAUUCACAAGUAGUAAAGGUUGAUGAUCUCAAUCGCGUUAAGUAAAUUCUUGGCAUAAGUUUCAUGCAAUCAUAGUAACAAGUGCUUCGUCAAUGCUUAUGGUUUUCAUAGAACUUAAUGAUUCUUGCUUGUAUCUCUAUUAUGCAAUCAUGUAGGGGACUUGUGGGGAAUGUUUUGGGUUGUCGUAUGCAAUCAUCCAAUUCAAUAACGUUAGGAAAAUCUGAAGGUUAAUUUAAGCGGAACUAAUUAACUUGGGGCAUUGAGAAUUCAUGGUUUAUUGAAAAGCAAUUGGAAAUCGUUUUGUAUGCAAGUGUAACAUGUGUGGAGAUGAACCCCUUAGCUAGCCUUCCAUUCACCCAUUUAAAUCAAAUUCGUUUUUACAAUCUAUUCUAAUUUACAAAGUUUGUUUUGUUUUAAAUUCGUCCAAAACUAAUCCCCCUUUGUUUUAAAGUGUCAAAUUAGUUAGUAAGUGUUUUACUUUGUGUUUUUAAGUGUUUUGAUUCAAGUUAAAACCCAAAUUCGUCCAAUUUGGUGCUUAGUGUCCAAAACUGCCCAGAUUGUGUUUUUAAGGCAGUUUUGAGUGUUUUGGUGCUGUUUUGAGUCUUUUGGUUUGUUUUGGUGUUUUAAAGUUUAGUUUUGCAUUCUUUGAGUCUAUUUUAGUGUUUUAAACUUGUUUUUACGUAUUUGAGUCAAUUCCAAGUGAUUUUGCAAUCCCUCCUAAUCCCCGGUCUAGAACGAUCCCUACUUACAUACAUUGCUACAAUUGAUAAAAAGAGGGUUAAUUUGUGUGUCAACAUAAUUUUCACAUCAAUUGCGGUAAUAUUGUUGCAAAUGGAUCAGCUAUAAUCUAUCCCUAGAGUUCAAUUUGUACUGGCCAAAGCCAUUAACAGACAACUUGAUGUUCGUGCAUUAAACUUACUACGGAAGUCCCGUCCCUGAAUUCCUACUCUUACUUGCCAUAAAAAACACAGAAGCAGCGAUCUAUUCCGCAAGACAUUCAGCAAAGCAGAAAGCUUUUUGGCUCCAAAUAGGACAUAAUUAUGUGAGUAAUGAAAAGAACACCAUAUUGUACUUGUACAAUUAGAAGGAUGCACAAAUUUAAGUUUGGCAACUGAGAAAAUGCAAGAAAAUUAGUAACUAAGUGGAAAAAACAGAGGGAAUUCUGAAAAUUAAACAAAAAAGGGUUUACAAUGAUUGAGCAGAGGAAACGCCAACACUACAAGGGAUCUGACAGGUGUUGGAUUUGUGGUAGAGGGGACGAUCAUUCCUCUUAUGGGCGAAAAGGGGUAGGAUGGCAAGGCUUCCCAAGCAUUGUUGCAGAGGGUAGAGGCAUCGGAAUUGCUUGCGACGGUGGAGUUGUGGCGAGGAAGCGGAGGUGUGCAGCGCAUGGACGCAAUCCAUUCGACAAAAUGCCAAAGCAAAAUUUACAAGGGAGAGGGAGAGAGUGAGUGAGGCUUGGGUUUGGAAGCAGAGAUGAUGAGUCAGUGCAUGUGAGUCAGACGUUGAGGAGGAAGAUUGAAGGAGAAGUGAGAGGUACUUACUUUUGGGUUUUUUUUUAUUAACACCCCACGUAAUGUUGAAUACACCAAACAUUAAAAUUCAAUAUUAAAUCACUUAUAUAUCUAAUAUUCAAUGACAAUUUUAACCUCAUAAAGUUAAAUAAAAAAUCUAAAUACACUCCAAAUCACAAGUUUAACAUAUCCUACAAUUAUUUUUCUUCAACUCUCAAAACCAAUCUCAUCCUUUAUUGUAGUACAAAACCUAAAUCAAUGAAACUACAAAGACGUUGAUCACAACUUUAAAGCCCAUGGAUAUUGAUCAUUAGCCUCCUGGUUUUCAUUCACCGUACCACUACAGCUUCAUCUCCAUAUGAAAUCAACAAAUUUGCUUUGUUAUGAUGAUUUUCACAGAGGGGACUCAGAACUUGCGGAUUCUCGUUAUAACGCCUCAAAUUACACCCAAACAGGAAGGGAAAGAAAGGAGCGUCCAAGUCAAGCUACUCGCCUCUUUGGCUGUGAUACCAAUAGCUCUUGCAGAUGCACAUAUGAUUGGUUGUUUUGUACAUACAAUGAAAUUCUUCAAUCCAAUGAUUCAUGUAUGCGUUCUAUCCACCCCACAUUCUUCUUCAAUCCGGUUUCAUUGAGUAAAAAAAAAAAUGUGAAGUGGAGUGUAGGUAAAAAAAUGUGGGGUGUAUGUUGAGAGUGUGGGAUGUGAGGGUAUUAAGGGAAAGUACAUGAGGUGUAUAAAGAUAACUUUUAAUUGAAAAGGUAAAUGUGGGGUGCUUCAACAAUAUUUGAGGUGCUAAUAUAAUAAGCCCUUACUUUUCUGUUUUAAUUUCAGAAAAUCAUUAUUCACACACUCAUUCUUAUAUUUACACAUUUUUGUUAAUUUUUAAUCAUUAAUCUUUUUUAAUUCAUUUGAUUCGACGACCAAAAAAUUUAAAAAAAAAUUGAAAAGUAAAAAUAGGUAUAUGGCUAGCACAAUUCUUAAUUUAUUUGGGACACAUGGUAGGGACCGAAUCCAAAUCCCCAAAAUAGGAGAGAUCCUAUUGUCCGGGUUCUUUACGCAAAGCUUUCCAAAAUUUUAGGGUUUGUGUGUCACAGCCCGUCCCGAAUUAUUUAGUUUCGACGGUGUGAAAUGACUAUUUUGCCCUUGGACGUUAGUGGUGUGGUGUGUGUUAUGCAUGUUAGUGGUGGUCCAAACUUAUGCUUUUCCUUAAUUUUGGACCCAAUUAGAACUUAGUUUUUUUUGUGGUUUUUGGUUGGUGACCUAGCUGGACACACACACUCACACGUACCAUACACACAAAAACACUCAGAUCUCUCUCUCUCUCUGGCAUUUUCGUACAACCCGUAUGGACAAAUCUUCAACCUUCCAUUUUAGGCACGGAUUGAGGUUUUAAAGGUAACAUUCAAACUCUUUGCAAGCCUUGAUGUCGAUUUAUACCUUUAUUUGGACUUAAAACCUUCGAAAACCCUAGUUUCUCACGAACUCCGAUAUAGGUACUAUUCAUACACUAAUUAUUGUGAGGUUUUUAGGAGUUUUUAAGGGUAUAGGAAGCUUUAGAUUGUCUUCAUGAAGCUCGGAGAAAAAAAAUGAAGUGAUUUGGACGUCGGAAAGUUGAGUUUCUAUGAGUUGCAGGUUUAGCCGGAUUAUCGAGGGAUUUUCCAGCGAGUUCCGUGGGUUUUAGGGCUUUUGAAAGGUACGGUUGUGUUCUAUUUGUAUUAAGCUUCAAAUUGGUUUAAGUUUCAUGCAAUUUGGUUGAGAAAUGGACGAGAAAUGAAGGUUAAAGUUUUCCAGUUUUCGGCGACCGUCGCCGUCGCCGGAGUGCGAAGGUAGGGGAUGACGAAACAUUCCGUCAACUUUGACGGAAUAUUCCUAAUGGCGUUGGUUAGUUUAAUGGUUUCCGUUACUUUUUAACAAUAUAUUCCACGGAAUAUUCCUAACAGGGUUAAGGGAUUCUGUUAGGAUCCCUGCGCGUGGCCGCGUGUAGGGCCGUGCCCUUGCCGGCGCGUGAAGGCUCCAAAAAAUUAUUUUAAAAAUAUAGGGAUGUUCAUGGAGUUGUGUAGAUCACGAUGGUAUAUUUAUAUACCUCAAUUGUGCAAUGUAUGAGAAGUUAUUAGCUAGUAUUGGUUAUAUGCUUUAAAUUAACGUUUUUAUAGAGCGCAGUCAAUGGCGACUCGGAGGCUACGACCCUUCGACAUACCAGUGAGUCGGUUUUUGGUUUUCAGUAUAUACUUAUAUACUUGAUAUUUUCCCAGAAAAUGCAUUUAAAUGAGUUAUGAUUUGAAUUGCCAUGCCAAACAUUUUAUAUUUAGAAUAUGCAUAUGAUGUUUGCAUAUAUAUAUAUAUUUAUAUAUAUAUUUGUGGUGCUGAGGACUCUCAGGUAAGUCCCAGGUGAGUUUAUGAAUUGUGAAUAUGAAUAACAUUUGUGAUUAAUUGAGAAACUUUGAGCUCAUAAACCUGCACCCCGGUGUUAGUGAUUUAGCCAGAAAUAGGGCACAGGCCUGCUUAUUCUGUUUAUAUCAUGGCAUGGCAUACUCAUGAUUAUGAAUAUGUGAAUCAUGAUUUGAAUUGAUAUAUAUAUAUAUAUGUAUGUAUAUGUUUGUAUUCUAUUUCUGGGAAAAAUAUCAAGUAUAUAAGUAUAUACUGAAAACCAAAAGCCCACGUAGAAGGCGGACAUGCCCAUGUAGUCAAAGCCUUGAGCCUACACCUCGAGGCCUUGUGAACCUAACUUCAUCCUCUUCACUAUUCCUGCUCCUCUUGCCAUUUGUGUAAGCAGAUUAAGUGAACUGAUAAGUAAGCUAAGCUUGUAUCAUAUUGUUUACCCUAAAAACUACCAAGCCUACGUGGCAUGCAGGCCGAGUAACUAAUGAGCUAACUAUGUCUUUCGGUUAUGUGCGGGGUGUGCCAACUCGUUGGCCGAGCUCGGCCGGGGAGUAAAAUGUGUUGAUGUUCAGUUGAGCGUGCUGCUGACUUCUUGAUCUUGCAACUACGGCCAAGGAAGGAACACGUCUCGACUUUCAGGUUCUAGAGCCUAAAGACAAGGCUGCUAGUCUUGCGAAGUUCACGGAUCGUUGGCGCCGUGUUCGGUCACGGUGAUUAUAUUCGUAAGAGUAUAAGCACGCCGAACCGGUACCAAACUAUACGGACACAAGUACUCAAAAGAAAUGUAUGUCUUGAUGGUAAACGUGGUUUGACUGUCAAAAUGUCGAACUCUAAAACUUACUUGUGAAUAUCCAAUCAUAAAACAACUCAGCAUUCAAUGUGGUAAACCCAGUAAUCUGUAACACUUCACUUCGCCGAGAAGGCUAAUGAGAUGACCUUUGCCAACAAGAACUCAAAAAUCCUUCUUGGCCAAGACUUGGAUAGAUAACAAGUUGGCCUCGACGCAGUGUUGUUUAUCCAAAUUAAAGGUGCUCCGGGGUCGGCUGAUUUUACGGCAACAGUGCUACUUAUCCAAACUAAAGAUGUCACCGGUUGCCUUCACAGUGCUAUUUAUCCAAACUGAAGAUGUGUCGGUGGGAAAAAGAAACUAAAAAUCUAAGGUUGUUGAGAGGUUUCACGUAGAGUGAGAGUUUGCGCAGGGCAGUUUGUGUGUUGAAUUGUAGGCCUUUGAAUGAUGCACUCUCCUAUAUAUAUUUAGCAGCGAACCUACUCUUGGCUGAACCAGAGAUGUAUCCAGACUAAAACUCCCAAAUCUAAUCUGAUUAGGAUUCGGCCAAUCCUAGUUCCAAUAGGUUUCUGAACCAAGCUCUGUAAUGAAUCAGAUUCACUCUCGAAUUCUCAACGCCCUUAACUCUGAAAACCCCAUUAUUGUACCAAGACUUGACUUCUUCACUCUUAUCCAAAUCAAUCCUUCUUGCAACAGAACUCGGCCGACUUGAUUGGUGACUUAUGACAGUUUGGACGACCCAUAGUAUUUUCAGAAGAGCAUUGGACCAAACACAAACCUAAGCUCGGCCUAAUAAUGUUAUUUUGGGCCCAAACACAUAUAUAUAAACAACAGAGUUGGCGUGGUGGUGAAGUGAUGGCGUAAGAGCAUACGUAUAUCAACUACCAAAAGGAAACUCGAAACUUCUUCGUCAAGAUACAAUAUUCUAGCAAAAUGUAUGCAGUGGCUGGUAACAAUACUCGUACUGUAGAUGCAAAUUUCUUCCUCCUUGAUCUUGGUAAAAAUAGCACCUACAAAACAAAUAACACCUUAGGUCAAGGCCAAGAACCUCACAUGUUGGAAAUGUGCCCUAAAACCAAUCAUAUGAUGAUACUUUACGGACAUUUCACAUGUUCAACUAAUAUAGUUUAAUUUAAAGGGCAAAGAUUAUUGUUUGAAGCCAUCUCAUAUAAAUGUUAUACGCUUAAACGAUAAGUCCAAGGAAUAUAUAAUUGGGAGAAUGCGAUCUAAAGAAGUUAGAUUCAUGAGACCAUUCUCUUCCGUAUACAUAUCCUAAACGUUCCUGAUCAUAGGAUUGCCAAUUGGGCAUUGACAAUCCGUUAAGAUCAGUAAGUGUUAUGUCUUCUCUUAGGGAGAGUGACUGGUCUCGAGUCAUUGGUGCGACUGACACUAAGACAAGCAUGUAGGUGCUCAAUAGAGAAUGAGUCCACUGAACACAAUCAACAAGGAGUUCUCAUACUCAUGUCACAUGAGAACUCAUGGUUGGGAUAAUGCAAAAUAGUCCUUUGACCUGAGGCAUCAUAGUUGUCUUAUGGUUAGGUCCUUGAUCUUUGACUAUGUCAAAGUCACUCUGUCAGAGGGUGUCCACGGCAUAGUUGGGGUUAAGCCACUUAGCCAUGGAGGCAAGUGAAUGCGCAACAAGGGAUCUUUAACCUUCAAACUGUUUGAGGGAGAAUACUCUAUGAUAUGAUUAAGAAUCUCUGGCUAGAGUAUGAAUAAGAUUUAGGAAGUCAUUCCAAAUCACAUUCAAGGUAAUCAUAUAAGUAAGAGAAUCACAUUGGAUAAUAGACAUGAAUAAACUAUCAAACCAAACAAUGUGGUCAAGAGUAUUGUAUUAGAGAAAGAUCGUAUUGCAUUGUAAUCCUAAACUGAAUAGGUUCUCCACCUCUUCCGAUUAGCUUGGGUAACCAUGACAUACUGCUAGGUGUCACUCAUGGUUUGUGGAGCCCUAAACGUGUAUAAUCACUAAAGGGAGAAUUGAAAGUAAGUUUCAAUUCACAAUCGAUUUGAAAGAGUUCUAAUCGCUCACUGCCUCGCUAAAAGGAACCUAAUGGAUUGUACACCGUGUAAGGUAGAGAUUGAAGAAACAACAGAGAUGAGUAAGGACAAUUAAAUGGUUUAAUUGUUUAUGGCAAGAAUUAAUUAAUAUGUUAAUU